rnacentral:rRNA from 1 species
AUUGAACGCUGGCGGCAGGCCUAACACAUGCAAGUCGAACGAGUGGCGGACGGGUGAGUAAUGUCUGGGAAACUGCCUGAUGGAGGGGGAUAACUACUGGAAACGGUAGCUAAUACCGCAUACCCUCAGAUGUGCCCAGAUGGGGUUAGCUAUUUGGUGGGGUAACGGCUCACCAAGGCGACGAUCCAUCGCUGGUCUGAGAGGAUGACGAUCCACACUGGAACUGAGACACGGUCCAGACUCCGACGGGAGUCAGCAGUGGGGAAGAUUGCACAAUGUGCGCAAGCCUGAUGCAGCCAGGCCGCGUGUAUGAAGAAGGCCUGCGGGUUGUAAAGUACUUGCAGCGGGGAGGCGUUACCCGCAGAAGAAUCACCGGCUAACUCCGUGCCAGCAGCCGCGGUAAUAC